rnacentral:rRNA from 1 species
AGAGUUUGAUUCUGGCUCAGGAUGAACGCUGGCGGCGUGCUUAACACAUGCAAGUCGAGCGAAGCAGUUAAGAAGAUUCUUCGGAUGAAACUUGAUUGACUGAGCGGCGGACGGGUGAGUAACGCGUGGGUGACCUGCCCCAUACCGGGGGAUAACAGCUGGAAACGGCUGCUAAUACCGCAUAAGCGCACAGAGCUGCAUGGCUCGGUGUGAAAAACUCCGGUGGUAUGGGAUGGGCCCGCGUCUGAUUAGGCAGUUGGCGGGGUAACGGCCCACCAAACCGACGAUCAGUAGCCGGCCUGAGAGGGCGACCGGCCACAUUGGGACUGAGACACGGCCCAAACUCCUACGGGAGGCAGCAGUGGGGAAUAUUGCACAAUGGGGGAAACCCUGAUGCAGCGACGCCGCGUGAGCGAAGAAGUAUUUCGGUAUGUAAAGCUCUAUCAGCAGGGAAGAUAAUGACGGUACCUGACUAAGAAGCCCCGGCUAACUACGUGCCAGCAGCCGCGGUAAUACGUAGGGGGCAAGCGUUAUCCGGAUUUACUGGGUGUAAAGGGAGCGUAGACGGCAAGGCAAGUCUGAUGUGAAAACCCAGGGCUUAACCCUGGGACUGCAUUGGAAACUGUCUGGCUCGAGUGCCGGAGAGGUAAGCGGAAUUCUCUAGUGUAGCGGUGAAAUGCGUAGAUAUUAGGAAGAACACCAGUGGCGAAGGCGGCUUACUGGACGGUAACUGACGUUGAGGCUCGAAAGCGUGGGGAGCAAACAGGAUUAGAUACCCUGGUAGUCCACGCCG